AUUUUAAAGAGAGUUUGAUCCUGGCUCAGGACGAACGCUGGCGGCGUGCCUAAUACAUGCAAGUCGAACGAACGGAGGAAGAGCUUGCUCUUCCAAAGUUAGUGGCGGACGGGUGAGUAACACGUGGGCAACCUGCCUGUAAGUUGGGGAUAACUCCGGGA
rnacentral:rRNA from 1 species